rnacentral:lncRNA from 1 species
UUUAACUGCAUUUUGCACGCUGUCCCUCGAGAAGAGAGAAAAAAAUUCCCUUUGUCAGAAGGCAUGUGUCAUCUUAUAUUAUGACCAGCAGGUUGCUAUUUCUGAAGCGCUGUGUAGACUGACGAUUAAAAAAUCAAGGGAUGAACUUGUCCAUAAAUGGUUUGAUGAUGAAGUCAUUGCUGAAGCUUUCAAAGAAAUUAAGGAUCGAGAAUUUGAGACGGACAGUAGACGUUUUCUCAAUCACCUAAACAACAGACUUGGUGACCAAAGAAGGGUGUAUUCAUUUCCGUGUAUUGCUGCUUUUGCUGAUGAGCAUGAGAUGAGAAAACCAGCGGAUGAAAAAUUAGAGAAAUUUUGGAUCGACUUCAACCUAGGAAGUCAGAGUGUCACUUUUUAUAUAGACAAUGCUGAGAAUACUCUAUGGGACUCAGUGACACUUCCGAAGGAAGCGGUGAUGAAUUUCAGCAUAACAG